GAUUAAGUUAUUAAGGGCGCACGGUGGAUGCCUUGGCACUAGAAGCCGAUGAAGGACGUUACUAACGACGAUAUGCUUUGGGUAGCUGUAAGUAAGCAUUGAUCCAGAGAUUUCCGAAUGGGGAAACCCAGCACAAGUUAUGUUGUGUUAUCGACAUGUGAAUACAUAGCAUGUUAGAAGGCAGACCCGGAGAACUGAAACAUCUUAGUACCCGGAGGAAGAGAAAGAAAAAUCGAUUCCCUGAGUAGCGGCGAGCGAAACGGGAAGAGCCCAAACCAAUAAGCUUGCUUAUUGGGGUUGUAGGACACUCUAUACGGAGUUACAAAGGAAUAUAUUAGACGAAUCAUCUGGAAAGAUGAAUCAAAGAAGGUAAUAAUCCUGUAGUUGAAAAUAUAUUCUCUCUUGAGUGGAUCCUGAGUACGACGGAGCACGUGAAAUUCCGUCGGAAUCUGGGAGGACCAUCUCCUAAGGCUAAAUACUCUCUAGUGACCGAUAGUGAACCAGUACCGUGAGGGAAAGGUGAAAAGCACCCCGGAAGGGGAGUGAAAUAGAACCUGAAACCGUGUGCUUACAAGUAGUCAGAGCCCGUUAAUGGGUGAUGGCGUGCCUUUUGUAGAAUGAACCGGCGAGUUACGAUUUGAUGCAAGGUUAAGCAGUAAAUGUGGAGCCGUAGCGAAAGCGAGUCUGAAUAGGGCGUUUAGUAUUUGGUCGUAGACCCGAAACCAGGUGAUCUACCCUUGGUCAGGUUGAAGUUCAGGUAACACUGAAUGGAGGACCGAACCGACUUACGUUGAAAAGUGAGCGGAUGAACUGAGGGUAGCGGAGAAAUUCCAAUCGAACUUGGAGAUAGCUGGUUCUCUCCGAAAUAGCUUUAGGGCUAGCCUCGAGGUAAAGAGUCAUGGAGGUAGAGCACUGUUUGGACUAGGGGCCCUUCUCGGGUUACCGAAUUCAGACAAACUCCGAAUGCCAAUUAAUUUAACUUGGGAGUCAGAACAUGGGUGAUAAGGUCCGUGUUCGAAAGGGAAACAGCCCAGACCACCAGCUAAGGUCCCAAAAUAUAUGUUAAGUGGAAAAGGAUGUGGCGUUGCCCAGACAACUAGGAUGUUGGCUUAGAAGCAGCCAUCAUUUAAA
rnacentral:rRNA from 1 species